rnacentral:misc_RNA from 1 species
CUAAAAACAAUCGACAUAGUUGCUGUUUCGCGGUGACAUUCGUCGGAAAUUGGGUCAUCUUAAACCUUUUGGUUUUUAAGCGGCUUAAAAUUUUUUACGAUUCCACGAACGUUUCUAAGAUUUAUUUUCUUACACGUUUAAGGUAAUCGAUCUUUAUUAGACGUGGCCGUCGCAUCGGAUCGCGUCCAUAAAUAUUUCGUU